rnacentral:rRNA from 1 species
AGCUAGCGGCAGGCUUACACAUGCAAGUCGAGGGGUAGGGGAAGCUUGCUUCCUUGAGACCGGCGCACGGGUGCGUAACGCGUAUGCAACCUACCUUUUACAGAGGGAUAGCCCAGAGAAAUUUGGAUUAAUACCUCAUGGUAUAUAUCAUUCGCAUGUUUGAUAUAUUAAAGUUCCAACGGUAAAAGAUGGGCAUGCGUCCUAUUAGCUAGAUGGUAAGGUAACGGCUUACCAUGGCAACGAUAGGUAGGGGUCCUGAGAGGGAGAUCCCCCACACUGGUACUGAGACACGGACCAGACUCCUACGGGAGGCAGCAGUGAGGAAUAUUGGACAAUGGGCGCAAGCCUGAUCCAGCCAUGCCGCGUGCAGGAAGAAGCAUCUAUGGUGUGUAAACUGCUUUUGUACGGGAAGAAACACUCCUUCGUGAAGGAGCUUGACGGUACCGUAAGAAUAAGGAUCGGCUAACUCCGUGCCAGCAGCCGCGGUAAUACGGAGGAUCCAAGCGUUAUCCGGAAUCAUUGGGUUUAAAGGGUCCGUAGGCGGUUUGGUAAGUCAGUGGUGAAAGCCCGCAGCUCAACUGUGGAACGGCCAUUGAUACUGCCAGACUUGAAUUACAAGGAAGUAACUAGAAUAUGUAGUGUAGCGGUGAAAUGCUUAGAUAUUACAUGGAAUACCAAUUGCGAAGGCAGGUUACUACUUGUGGAUUGACGCUGAUGGACGAAAGCGUGGGGAGCGAACAGGAUUAGAUACCCUGGUAGUCCACGCCGUAAACGAUGGAUACUAGCUGUUGGGGGCAACUUCAGUGGCUAAGCGAAAGUGAUAAGUAUCCCACCUGGGGAGUACGUUCGCAAGAAUGAAACUCAAAUGAAUUGACGGAAGGCGAAUUCUGCAGAUA